UGGGGAAUAUUGCACAAUGGGCGCAAGCCUGAUGCAGCCAUGCCGCGUGUGUGAAGAAGGCCUUCGGGUUGUAAAGCACUUUCAGCGAGGAGGAAGGUGGUGAGCUUAAUACGCUCAUCAAUUGACGUUACUCGCAGAAGAAGCACCGGCUAACUCCGUGCCAGCAGCCGCGGUAAUACGGAGGGUGCAAGCGUUAAUCGGAAUUACUGGGCGUAAAGCGCACGCAGGCGGUUUGUUAAGUCAGAUGUGAAAUCCCCGGGCUCAACCUGGGAACUGCAUUUGAAACUGGCAAGCUAGAGUCUCGUAGAGGGGGGUAGAAUUCCAGGUGUAGCGGUGAAAUGCGUAGAGAUCUGGAGGAAUACCGGUGGCGAAGGCGGCCCCCCUGGACGAAGACUGACGCUCAGGUGCGAAAAGGCGUGGGGGCAGCAAACAGGAUUAGAUACCCUGGUAGUCCACGCUGUAAAACGAUGUCGAUUUUGGAGGUUGUGCCCCUUGAGGCGUGGNUUCCGGAGCUAACG
rnacentral:rRNA from 1 species